GAUGAACGCUGGCGGCGUGCCUAAUACAUGCAAGUCGAGCGAACAGACGAGGAGCUUGCUCCUCUGACGUUAGCGGCGGACGGGUGAGUAACACGUGGAUAACCUGCCUAUAAGACUGGGAUAACUUCGGGAAACCGGAGCUAAUACCGGAUAAUAUAUUGAACCGCAUGGUUCAAUAGUGAAAGACGGUUUUGCUGUCACUUAUAGAUGGAUCCGCGCCGCAUUAGCUAGUUGGUAAGGUAACGGCUUACCAAGGCAACGAUGCGUAGCCGACCUGAGAGGGUGAUCGGCCACACUGGAACUGAGACACGGUCCAGACUCCUACGGGAGGCAGCAGUAGGGAAUCUUCCGCAAUGGGCGAAAGCCUGACGGAGCAACGCCGCGUGAGUGAUGAAGGUCUUCGGAUCGUAAAACUCUGUUAUUAGGGAAGAACAAAUGUGUAAGUAACUAUGCACGUCUUGACGGUACCUAAUCAGAAAGCCCCGGCUAACUACGUG
rnacentral:rRNA from 1 species